CAAAUUAAUUUACUGAUUGAAUCUAAGUGCAAAAAGCACAUAGAUGACGAAGAAGAGAGAGAGAAAUCAAUCUAUGUGCAACUGAUGAAAAUUAAAAGUUACUUUGUUAAAUUUUAUUCUUUUAAUAAUAAAUUUAGAGUGUAGCAGCUUAAAAAGCAACCCUGCCAACAUAAAUUCCAAACACAGCAUAACAAACGCGAAACGAGCAUGGCGCGCGCAGAAGAUCCAAAUUUUGUCACGGAAAAGUUCUUUGUCCACCUCAAGGAAUCAAGUUUGCCGACCGAAUUGCUUUCUGUUUUUGAAGAAUUGCACUACAACGUUGACCACUUCACCACCGUCACCAAGGACGAAGUCGUAAAUGAUUUGGAGGCUGCCAGAGUGCCGGAGGGAGCUGCGAAUGAGACGUGCUGACCGGCAGACUGCGGGAGCUCAUCAUGGCAUCUAUGCGGAUCUCCCCGGUCCAUCAUCAUUGUUGACCGUGAUGUCGCCGAAUUGAGCAAACAAUGGUGUAAAAAUAAAUCUUGAAUAUUUUGCAACCAUC